UUUUAUGAGAGUUUGAUCCUGGCUCAGGACGAACGCUGGCGGCGUGCCUAAUACAUGCAAGUAGAACGCUGAAGUCUGGUGCUUGCACUAGACGGAUGAGUUGCGAACGGGUGAGUAACGCGUAGGUAACCUGCCUCAUAGCGGGGGAUAACUAUUGGAAACGAUAGCUAAUACCGCAUAACAGUAUUUACCGCAUGGUAGAUGCUUGAAAGGAGCAACUGCUUCACUAUGAGAUGGACCUGCGUUGUAUUAGCUAGUUGGUGAGGUAAC
rnacentral:rRNA from 1 species